rnacentral:rRNA from 1 species
AAUGAACGCUGGCGGCAUGCCUAACACAUGCAAGUCGAACGAGAUCUUCGGGUCUAGUGGCGUACGGGUGCGUAACGCGUGGGAAUCUGCCCUUUGGUUCGGAAUAACAGUUGGAAACGACUGCUAAUACCGGAUGAUGACGAAAGUCCAAAGAUUUAUCGCCAGAGGAUGAGCCCGCGUAGGAUUAGCUAGUUGGUGUGGUAAAGGCGCACCAAGGCGACGAUCCUUAGCUGGUCUGAGAGGAUGAUCAGCCACACUGGGACUGAGACACGGCCCAGACUCCUACGGGAGGCAGCAGUGGGGAAUAUUGGACAAUGGGCGAAAGCCUGAUCCAGCAAUGCCGCGUGAGUGAUGAAGGCCUUAGGGUUGUAAAGCUCUUUUACCCGGGAUGAUAAUGACAGUACCGGGAGAAUAAGCUCCGGUUAACUCCGUGCCAGCCGCCGCAGUAA